AGGAGCACGCAGGCCCCGCAGAGCCUGGCUUUGUAAAGAUGUGGGCAGCCUCUGGAGGGUUUUGUGCAGGGGAGUGGCAUGACCUCAGAGGACAGCUUUGAGCAAACAGAGGCCGCAAGGGAUGGAUGGCGGGAAGGAGAGGAAGAAGCACGCUGCCGAGUUGCCGUUGCGCAGCUUGGUUGCUUGAGACAGAAGCACCGUUGCUGCUCCAGGAAGCAGAGGAAGAGACAUGUGCCCUUAGUGGACCCCUGGCCCAGGGUUUCCAGAUGGCGGCCCAGCGGAUCCGAGCAGCCAAUUCCAGUGGCCUCCCUCGGUGCAAGUCGGAGGGGACCCUGAUCGACCUGAGUGAGGGGUUUUCGGAGACCAGCUUUAAUGAUGUCAAAGUGCCUUCUCCCAGUGCCUUGCUGGCCGAUACCCCCACCCCGUUUGGAAACGCAAAGGAAGUGAUCGCCAUCAAGGACUACUGCCCCACCAACUUCACCACCUUGAAGUUCUCCAAGGGCGACCACCUCUACGUCCUGGACACGUCGGGCGGGGAGUGGUGGUACGCACACAACACCACCGAGAUGGGCUACAUCCCCUCCUCCUACGUGCAGCCCUUGAACUACCGGAACUCCACCUUGAGCGACAGCGGCGUGAUAGACAAUCUUCCAGACAGCCCGGACGAGGUAGCCACGGAGCUGGAUCUGCUCGGGGGAUGGACAGACGACCAGAAGGGAUCCGGCAAAGUGCACAGUAAUAACCCUUUUUGGAGCGGGGUCCAGACAAACCCUUUCCUGAACGGGAACGUGCCGGGGAUGCCCGGCUUGGAUGAGCUGACUCCCAGAAGCACCGUGGACCUGCUGCUGUUUGAUACCGGAACUUCCUCGUUCACUGAAUCCAGCUCUGCGACCACCAACAGCACCGGCAACAUCUUCGACGAGCAGCCGGUCAAACGGGACAACCCCUUCUUUAGAAGCAAGCGAUCCUACAGCCUUUCGGAGCUCUCCGUCCUGCAAGCCAAGUCAGAUGCGCCCACCACGUCGAGUUUUUUCACGGGUUUGAAAUCCCCAGCUCCCGAGCAAUUUCAGAGCCGGGAGGACUUUAGGACUGCGUGGCUGAACCACCGGAAGCUGGCCCGGUCUUGCCACGACUUGGAUCUGCUCGGCCAGAGCCCAGGCUGGGGCCAGACACAAGCCGUGGAGACGAACAUUGUAUACAAGCUGGAUAGUUCUGGGGGCGCCGUGCAGCUCCCAGACACCAACAUCAGCAUCCACGUGCCCGAGGGCCACGUCGCCCCCGGGGAGACGCAGCAGAUCUCCAUGAGAGCCCUACUGGACCCCCCGCUGGAGCUCAACAGCGACAAGUCCAGCAGCAUCAGCCCCGUGCUGGAGGUCAAGCUCAGCAACCUGGAGGUGAACACCUUCCUCAUCUUGGAGAUGAAGGUUUCUGCUGAGGUGAAAAAUGACAUUUUUAGCAAAAGCACAGUAGGUCUCCAGUGUCUGAGGAGCGACUUGAAAGAAGGGCCAUAUCUGCCCAUCCCACUCACCUACAGCCAUGGGGACACCGUCCAGGUGCAGCUGGACAACCUGGAGCCCUGCAUGUACCUGGCCAUCGUGGCCCACGGCCCAAACAUUCUCUACCCUUCCACCGUGUGGGAUUUCAUCAAUAAGAAGGUCACCGUGGGUCUCUACGGUCCCAAACACAUCCACCCCUCCUUCAAGACGGUAGUGACCAUUUUCGGGCACGACUGCGCCCCCAAGAUGCUCCUGGUGAGCGAGGUCACACGGCAGGCCCCCGGCCCUGCCCCCGUGGCUCUGCAUCUGUGGGGAAAGCACCAGUUCCUCCUGUCCAGGCCCCAGGACCUCAAAGUCUGCAUGUUUUCCAACAUGAGCAACUACGAGGUCAAGGCCAGCGAGCAGGCCCGGGUGGUGAGAGGGUUCCAGGUGAAGCUGGGCAAGGUGAGCCGCCUCGUCUUCCCCAUCACCUGCCAGAGCCCCGGCGAGCUCUCGGACUUCACGCUGCGGGUGCAGGUGAAGGAUGACCAGGAGGCCAUCCUGACCCAGUUCUGCAUCCAGACGCCACAGCCUCCACCCAAGAGUGCCAUCAAGCCGUCCGGGCAGAGGCGGUUUCUCAAGAAGAACGAGGUGGGGAAGAUCAUCCUGUCCCCGUUUGCCGCCGCCACCACCAAGUACCCGACGUUUCAGGACCGGCCCGUGUCCAGCCUCAAGUUCGGCAAGCUGCUCAAGACGGUGGUGAGGCAGAGCAAGCACCACUACCUGCUGGAGUACAAGAAGGGGGACACGGUGGCUCUGCUGAGCGAGGAGCGCAUCCGGCUGAAGGGGCAGCUGUGGACCAAGGAGUGGUACAUAGGCUACUACCAGGGCAAGGUGGGCCUGGUGCACGCCAAGAACGUGCUGGUGGUCGGGAGGGCCAGGCCCAGCCUGCUCUCGGGCCCCGAGCUGAGCACCUCGGUGCUGCUGGAGCAGAUCCUGCGGCCCUGCAAGUUCCUCACCUACAUCUACGCCUCCGUGCGGACCCUGCUCAUGGAGAACAUCAGCAGCUGGCGCUCCUUCGCGGACGCCCUGGGCUACGGGAGCCUGCCGCUCACCUUCUUCUGCCGGGCGGAGCUGGACAGCGAGCCCGAGCGUGUGGCCUGUGUCCUGGAGAAGCUGAAGGAGGACUGUAGCAACCCCGAGAACAAAGACCGGAAGUCCUUCCAGAAGGAGCUCGUGAUGGCUUCCUUUGAUCUCCUGCGCUCUUCCCUCUCUUCUCCUUCCUGCGUUCCUGACCAGGAGCUGCUGGGUGGGGUGGCCAAAAGGUGAGAAGCAGAUGGACCAGGUAAGGACCGGAUGGAGUGGCCCAGGACACAUUAAUUAAUAACUUUAUAACUCCCUGUAGGGAGGGGCAAUUCCUGAGACAGGUUACCUUAGCAACAGUCGGAGCGGAGCAGGUUGUCUUGAUAGGGUGGAGGAAGGGCUCUGAAGGCAUUUCGAUCCCUCUCCAACUUCCCAGACUCGCUCAAAUUGGCCUCCUUGAUCUGACCGGACUCGGUCUACCUACCUCCGGCUGCCUGUCUAAUUCUGGCUUCCCUGGCACUGCUCUUUAUUUUCUUCAACAAGUGCAAGUUUUGUGUUGAAGAGUAGGAAGUUUUCUAGAAAGUUCUGUGUCUACUGCUCUUCCCACCAUGAUAUCACGUGUUUGGCUCAGCUGGAACUCACACUUUGGGAUGACAAGUUCUUGUUCUGUUUUUCACACACCCACACAUUUUUCUGCACUCCAAGUGCAAAUCAGCUCACACCCCAGGUGUAGAUCACCCCACUUGGGUGUGAUCAGCAGUCCUGGGUGCAUCGCCAUCACCUGCAGCCUCCAGUGAGCUGUCGUCCAGUGGCCCUGACACCUGAGCCCAGCAAGAGGUAGGAGUAGGGGCGGGUGGUUGCCUGGCAACGGCAGAGCUCCUGCCUUCCUGGGAGAGGAAAGACCUAGAGAAUCACCUCACUUUCAUUGUUGACUCUGAGCCUGGUUGGAACCUUUGAGCACAAAAAGGAGUUGAGAGUAGACUCCACACUGACGUCGGCCUAGCAGCCUGAACUACACCAACGCAGCCCUGUGCACUCCCUGGCCCACCUGAAUAAGAGCCACCAGGAGGAGCGUCAGAUGGCCCAGGCUCUCCAGCCUGCUGAUUUGGGUGCUCAUGGGCUCGGGAAUCAGCCUGUCAGCAAGCCUUCUUGGAUUCCUAGGAGCCCCAGCGUGUGAGGACAAGCUCAGGUCGCUGGACUCCUGGGCUGCCCAGUAAGAGGGAUUAGCAGGCCUCCAGCGCCUAGCAACAGUCCCGCCUCCAGCGCCUAGCAACAGACCCGCCUUCUGCACCUAGCAACAAUCCUGCCCUCUGCACCUAGCAACAGAGCCACCUCCGCUGCCUCAGGCUGUGCUUUGCAGUCCUCGGAAGAGACUUCAUCUCCUUAGCAGGAAGUCCCAGCAGGACAGCCUGUGCCCACCAGGGGGACGUCUGCCGCUCUUCCGCAGCUGUGAAUUGGGGAAUGGGCUGAUGUCUCCGUGGAGGCACCGUGUGGGCAGAGGCCUGGUUCCCUGUGGUUUGCGCUGGUCCUCCCCGGGCUGUGCAGAGGGCCUCCUGGGCACCUGCACACUCUGGAAGGCCUCUGUGAGCUCCAGGAGGGGUGUGGGCCCUGCCUCUGCCCCCUGGAUCCAGGUGGGCUCUGAGGCAGGCCUGGCUCCUUGCCUGGGGCAACAGCACUCCUGCAGGGGCACUCCCCACACAAGCUUAUUCCUAGGCACCCAGGCUAAAAAGACUUCUAGACAUUUCCUUGGCCAAUAGAGUCCUGACACUUUAGAGAUUUUUCCUCAUUUGAUCUUGACAAUGUGGUAUGAAGUAGGCACAUUUACUAUCCUCAUUUUACAGAUCAGGAAGGGAAGCACAGAGAGGCUAAGAACUUUCCCAAGCUCACACAGCUAGCAAGUGUGAUUGACAUCCACUAUCAGGCAGCCUGGCUCCCAGGUCUUUGCUGUGCCCCUUUCCUACCCUACCCAGGUGAUGCUUUCUGUGAGUCAGAAACCCCAGCAUGACAAGGAAAUGGUGACUUGCAUAAUUAAAAAUGGCAAAUAUAAAAAAUCAUAAUAUUGGACUUUGGAUGUUUUAGUGAAGGUAGGUAGAGCAGGGUUUGCCAAAGUCUAGUGGUUUUAAUUCCCUUUCGCCAAGCAGAGCAGUUGGUUGGAAUUCUCUCUGACACCCCAGGGGCUGCAUGGAGUUGGGACAGAGUCCUAGAGAGCAACAGUAGUUUUAAAAUUUGUUACAACAUAAACAUCUGUCAAUCACAGGAUGAUCUAAUAAACAGCUGCAGCACAUAUGUACAGUGGGCACUUUUACACAAUGGAAUAGUACUACCAAGAGGGAGAAGCAGAUCCCGUCACCAUGUGCAGGGGUCUCCAAGUCAGCAGGGGAGAGAGCACACUGGGUACAGGAGUGUGGCACCCAUCAUCUCUCUGGCCCACGCAGUACUUCCAGAAUGAGAAGCUCGGUCCCGGGGCCCAGAGAUCAGGAUUUGAGGGGCCCAGUUUCUGUCGUGCUGUUUAGUCUCUUACUCUGAGCCAACAUCAUUUUCAACAUUCCAUAUUUUUUGCUACAGAUCAUAAUUUAUGAAAUGAGAGCAAUUGGGAACUGGCUGUAAGCACCCAAGGAACAGAACGAAUACCCCAAUUUGCAAAAUUAAAAAUCAAACAAGUACCUAAUUUACAUGCUGUUAAUCAACAAAGUGGGCAUAUGUAGUCAGAUAAUCAAAAUUGAUUGUGUGUGUUUAGAGCAAGAUUUUUUUUCCAGCCAGGGCCCACGGGGGGUUCUAGGAGUCUUUGAAACCCUCAGAAUGGUGCACAGAUAUUUUGUUAAUUUUGGCCUGAUUAGCUUAUAAGGAGGGUAUCCAAGGCUUUUAGUUAAUUCCUACACAGGUUCAUGAUGCAUAAAAGCUAACCACCAGCCAAGGUGCUGGGGAAAUGACCUUGAUAGAAAAAACUAGCAUUCCAAGCUUAGUUCUCGGGUGAGCCAGCAGCUACACCCAGUCAGGUGGGAGGCCACUGGUCCCUAGGUCAACGCUGGCUGCAUUGACAUGCUGCCCAUGGCUCCUAUGCAGUUCUUACUUGUGACACAUGGUCGCAUCAGGCUGCAGGACUGCGUUGGUGGGGUGCACCAGGACCCUCAUCCAGCCCUCUGUGGUGGAAGGGGCUUAUUCUUCACACCUGACAGGUGGUCCAUAGGAUCUGGCUUUGAUCCACACUUGAUGUGGCUACAGCACCCCUGGGCAUGGGGUCCACUUUACAGGUAGGAAGAAAGGCAAAGGUGGUGCGCACUGUGAUCCCAGCAGCUCAGGAGGCUGAAGGAUCUCAAGCUCAAAGCCAGCCUUAGCAAAAGGGAGGCCCUAAGCAACUUAACAAGACCCUGUCUCUAAAUAAAAUAUAAAAAGGGCUGGGGGUGUGGUUCAGUGGCUGAGUGCACUUGGGUUCAAUCCCUAAUACCCAAAAAGGAGGAGGAAGGAGGAAGGAGGAGAAAGAAGGAGGAGGAGGAGAGGAGUAAAGGUCGUGGAACUGCCAACCGAGUCUCUCUUUACAAGGGCAGCAGAAACCCUGCCUCCGUAGCACUGCCCAGAGUCCCCUGCACGUGGUCGGGCGGGACUGCAGCACGGGCAGCCCCCUGGUUACAGAAAGCCUGGGCUGGGUGUGGAGGGCCUCUGGUUGACUGAAAGUCACCCUAAACGGCAGAGACUCCUUUAGUGUGGAAGGACAGGGGCCAGCAGAGACUGUGGGCCCCGGGUUGAGUCUGUCCCUGUGGCUCGGGGGAGUGUGCCUGAGUCUGCCUUCUCCAGAGCUGGAGCAUGGAUCAGAGAAUCAACUGGGCCUAAAACUGGCCCAAUACCUGCAUUGUGAGAGUGCAGCCCGAGUUACCACCCCUGGCUGCACCCACGAUCCUGAAAUCCAGAAUGAGAGCCGUGACUUGAUGUUUCCCUCUUCAGGUCUCAUUCUGACACAGGCACAGGACAGCUGGGACUUCGUGAAGGAUCCUGAUGGAAGCAAAAUGCACUUUAAUAAAAAUGAGGUGCAAGAAAAGAAGAAAUGAAGUAACCAAGUGGGCCUGAGUCACUUCCACUGUGGGCGCGGACUGUCACAGCCUACCUCUGCUGUCAACAAGGCCUCUGAUCACUGUCCUCACUGUGAAGAAAACAGGUGUCUUUUCUCCGAGCCUUUCCGCCGGAAGCCACCAGGACACCGGGGAUGCAUUUCCCAGCUGCGGACACUGAGGCCUGGUGGCGGGCAGGGUAGGAGCAUGCUCGCCAGCUGGGCCGUUCGAAGGAGCAGUGGGCAGAGUCGGGGAGAGUCUGGGGCUGGGGGUCAACAGGCCUGCAAGGUAGGAGGAGUGCCCUCAUCACAGCCGCAGGUCUCCCUGAGCAUAGAACUCAAGUCUGAGAAGGCGAAACCCGCUUCUUAUUCCUGCCAUGCUGUCUGAGACGCCAAGGGACGGUGCCUCCCUCUGUGACACAGCUGGCCUCCUGGGUUCACCCGCUCCUGUCACCCCCUGCAAACAGCCCCAGGCCCCCGGGAACCUACAGGCUGACUUGUAUCUGUACAGCAUGAUGUUUCUCCAGAGGCCAAGAACUCACGAGUUCAUAGCAAAGCUCCAACAUAAAAGUAUAUAAUAUAUAUAUAUAUAUAUAUAUAUAUAUAUAUAUAAAAUAUAGAAGUAAAAGCUCUCUCCCCCUUGAACAGCCUCUGCCAUCUCUACAUGGACUCCAGAAGUAUUAAUUUGAAAACCUCAUAUUUUAAAGAGACACUACUGUAAAGGACAGCCUUUCCCUUCUUCCUCUUCUUCUCACAACAGAAUGGCCAUCCCAAGCAUGGCGGGCACUGUCUAGACCGCGUUUAGCGCACGGAGAAAGAAGUUAUUACCCACAGUCCAAGAAGAGGAAAAUUUCCUUAGUCUCCAAAAGGAGAAAGCUCUGAACACGUGAGCCCCCGCUCAGCUUCGGUUCGAAGUGCUCCAGGAUGGCUCUGGAUCACGCUGCUCUUUCCUGGUCACACAGAUGGCAUUUUUUACAUCAUACCAAGUAGCUUUGAUUUUUAUUUUCUAUCCACGCAAGGGAAAAACCAGGCAGUAUUUCGGAAGCUGUGAUUCUGGGAAUUGUGGGUCCUUUCUUUAAAGUUCUGAGACUAAAUUGAAAUCCAGGUUUCCUUAAAAUAAAUAUCCUUUGUUAUCACA